rnacentral:rRNA from 1 species
UGGGGAAUUUUGGACAAUGGGCGCAAGCCUGAUCCAGCAAUGCCGCGUGCAGGAUGAAGGCCUUCGGGUUGUAAACUGCUUUUGUACGGAGCGAAAAGGUCUGCCCUAAUACGGUGGGCUCAUGACGGUACCGUAAGAAUAAGCACCGGCUAACUACGUGCCAGCAGCCGCGGUAAUACGUAGGGUGCAAGCGUUAAUCGGAAUUACUGGGCGUAAAGCGUGCGCAGGCGGUUAUGCAAGACAGAUGUGAAAUCCCCGGGCUUAACCUGGGAGCUGCAUUUGUGACUGCAUAGCUAGAGUACGGUAGAGGGGGAUGGAAUUCCGCGUGUAGCAGUGAAAUGCGUAGAUAUGCGGAGGAACACCGAUGGCGAAGGCGACCACCUGGACUGAUACUGACACUGAGGUGCGAAAGCGUGGGGAGCAAACA